UAGGUACUGAAGCCGAUGGGCUUGGA
rnacentral:piRNA from 1 species